GGACCCGCACAAGCGGUGGAGCAUGUGGUUUAAUUCGACGCAACGCGAAGAACCUUACCUAGGCUAGAAUGUGAGGGAAUGUUGGGUAACACCAUCAGUCUGAGAAAUCAGACCCAAAACAAGGUGCUGCAUGGCUGUCGUCAGCUCGUGUCGUGAGAUGUUGGGUUAAGUCCCGCAACGAGCGCAACCCUUAUCAACAGUUGCCAUCAUUAAGUUGGGAACUCUGUUGAGACUGCCGUUGAUAAAACGGAGGAAGGUGGGGAUGAUGUCAAGUCAUCAUGGCCUUUAUGCUUAGGGCUACACACGUGCUACAAUGGCCGGUACAAAACGUCGCAAUCCCGUAAGGGGGAGCUAAUCGCAAAAACCGGUCUCAGUUCGGAUUGAAGUCUGCAACUCGACUUCAUGAAGUUGGAAUCGCUAGUAAUCGCGGAUCAGAACGCCGCGGUGAAUACGUUCCCGGGUCUU
rnacentral:rRNA from 1 species